AUACGGAGGGUGCAAGCGUUAUCCGGAAUCAUUGGGUUUAAAGGGUCCGUAGGCGGGCCGAUAAGUCAGGGGUGAAAUCCCACAGCUUAACUGUGGAACUGCCCUUGGUACUGUUGGUCUUGAGUUACUGUGAAGUGGUUAGAACGUGUAGUGUAGCGGUGAAAUGCAUAGAUAUUACACAGAAUACCGAUUGCGAAGGCAGAUCACUAACUGUUGACUGACGCUAAUGGACGAAAGCGUGGGGAGCGAACAGGAUUAGAAACCCUAGUAGUCC
rnacentral:rRNA from 1 species